AACGAACGCUGGCGGCAUGCCUAACACAUGCAAGUCGAACGAGACCUUCGGGUCUAGUGGCGCACGGGUGCGUAACGCGUGGGAACCUGCCCUUAGGUUCGGAAUAACUCCCCGAAAGGGGUGCUAAUACCGGAUAAUGUCUUCGGACCAAAGAUUUAUCGCCUUUGGAUGGGCCCGCGUUGGAUUAGCUAGUUGGUAGGGUAAAAGCCUACCAAGGCGACGAUCCAUAGCUGGUCUGAGAGGAUGAUCAGCCACACUGGGACUGAGACACGGCCCAGACUCCUACGGGAAGCAGCAGUGGGGAAUAUUGGACAAUGGGCGAAAGCCUGAUCCAGCAAUGCCGCGUGAGUGAUGAAGGCCUUAGGGUUGUAAAGCUCUUUUACCCGAGAUGAUAAUGACAGUACCGGGAGAAUAAGCUCCGGCUAACUCCGUG
rnacentral:rRNA from 1 species